CGGGGCUGCUUGGGCAUAUUACUAGGAUGGGUUAGUGUUAGGUCGAUCUGGGUACUUGAGUUUCUUGUCCAGACUAAAUAGUUGGGGUAGGGAUGACAAAAAUAGAUAUGCUCGUGGAUAUCCACAGAUAAAAUCCAUCACAGGUAGUUGGUACCCGUAGGUAUUUAUUACCAACGGGUAACGAAUAACGGGUAUUUUAAUACCCACUUAUAAACGGGUCAGGUGUAAGAGCCUAGAAAAUAGAGUAUCAAAGUAGAUAGAUGUAUUAAAAUAAUGAGAUUGAGUAUUUUAUUUUAAAAUAAUCUUAUAAUCUAAAUUGAACUUUCUAAAACUCAGUUCAUUAUCUAAAUAUCUUUUAUCUCUCUAAAACACUGUUCUUUUCCCUUUCUCUCACUUCUCUCUAACUUUUCUUACUCAUACGUCAUUUGUUUGACGAUCAAGAAGUGUCUAGACGAUCCUAGCGUCAAGAGCUACCUUUUCCACCUAUCAAUUUCUUGAGUUGUGCAAGUAAAUGAAAAACCCUUUUUUCUUGACGUUUAGGGUUCUUAAUUUUU
rnacentral:lncRNA from 1 species